UCACCCCCCGGCUGUGUAGACUCAGCAUAUCAAUAAGCGGAGGAAAAAGAAAAUAACAAUGAUUUCCCUAGUAACGGCGAGUGAAGAGGAAAGAGCUCAAAGUUGGAACCUGUUUGGCCUAGCUAAACCGGAUUGUAGACUGUAGAAGUGUUUUCCAGGCAAGCCGAGUAAAUAAGUCCUUUGGAACAGGGCAUCAUAGAGGGUGAGAAUCCCGUCUUUGGCUUGAGCAUUUGCCUUUUGUGAUACGCUUUCAAAGAGUCAGGUUGUUUGGGAAUGCAGCCUAAAUUGGGUGGUAAAUCUCACCUAAAGCUAAAUAUUGGCGAGAAACCGAUAGCGAACAAGUACCGUGAGGGAAAGAUGAAAAGAACUUUGAAAAGAGAGUUAAACAGUAUGUGAAAUUGUUAAAAGGGAACCGUUUGGAGCCAGACUGGCUUGUCUGUAAUCAAUCUAGGCUUCGGCCUGGAUGCACUUGCAGGCUAUGCCUGCCAACGACAAUUUGACUUGAGGGAAAAAACUAAGGGAAAUGUGGCCCACUUGUGGGUGUUAUAGUCCCUUAGAAAAUACCUUGGGUUGGAUUGAGGAACGCAGCGAAUGCUUUUUGGCGAGUUUUCCAGGAAGGUUUUCUGAGGUACUACGGUAUCAAGGUUGAUCUUUUUGGUUAUACUUCUAUUCGCUUAGGUUGUUGGCUUAAUGACUCUAAAUGACCCGUCUUGAAACACGGACCAAGGAGUCCACCAUUAGUGCGAGUAUUUGGGUGCCAAACCCAUAUGCGUAAGGAAACUGAUUGAUACGAAUCCAUUAAGGAGGCAGUAUCGUCCGGCGCUGACGUUUUAUACUGAAUUGACCGAGACAAAGCACUAAUGAUGGGACCCGAAAGAUGGUGAACUAUGCCUGAAUAGGGUGAAGCCAGAGGAAACUCUGGUGGAGGCUCGUAGCGAUUCUGACGUGCAAAUCGAUCGUCAAAUUUGGGUAUAGGGGCGAAAGACUAAUCGAACCAUCUAGUAGCUGGUUCUGCGAG
rnacentral:rRNA from 1 species